rnacentral:rRNA from 1 species
UCUGGGACAAGCCCUGGAAACGGGGUCUAAUACCGGAUAACACUCUGUCCCGCAUGGGACGGGGUUAAAAGCUCCGGCGGUGAAGGAUGAGCCCGCGGCCUAUCAGCUUGUUGGUGGGGUAAUGGCCUACCAAGGCGACGACGGGUAGCCGGCCUGAGAGGGCGACCGGCCACACUGGGACUGAGACACGGCCCAGACUCCUACGGGAGGCAGCAGUGGGGAAUAUUGCACAAUGGGCGAAAGCCUGAUGCAGCGACGCCGCGUGAGGGAUGACGGCCUUCGGGUUGUAAACCUCUUUCAGCAGGGAAGAAGCGAAAGUGACGGUACCUGCAGAAGAAGCGCCGGCUAACUACGUGCCAGCAGCCGCGGUAAUACGUAGGGCGCAAGCGUUGUCCGGAAUUAUUGGGCGUAAAGAGCUCGUAGGGCGGCUUGUCACGUCGGAUGUGAAAGCCCGGGGCUUAACCCCGGGGUCUGCAUUCGAUUACGGGCUAGCUAGAGUGGUGGUAGGGGGAGAUCGGGAAUUCCUGGUGUAGCGGGUGAAAUGCCGCAGAUAUCAGGAGGAACACCGGUGGCGAAGGCGGAUCUUCUGGGCCAUUACUGACGCUGAGGAGCGAAAGCGUGGGGAGCGAACAGGAUUAGAUACCCUGGUAGUCCCACGCCGUAACGUUGGGAACUAGUGUUGGCGACAUUCCACGUCGUCGUGCCGCAGCUAACGCAUUAAGUUCCC